rnacentral:misc_RNA from 1 species
UUGAAAACCGGAUUAUGG